GAUGAAGAACGUAGCAAAAUGCGAUAAGUAAUGUGAAUUGCAGAAUUCAGUGAAUCAUCGAAUCUUUGAACGCGCAUUGCGACCGCUGGUAUUCCGGCGGGCAUGCCUGUUCGAGCGUCAUUUCAACCCUCAAGCCCCCGGGUUUGGUGUUGGGGAUCGGCUCUGCCCUUCUGGGCGGUGCCGCCCCCGAAAUACAUUGGCGGUCUCGCUGCAGCCUCCAUUGCGUAGUAGCUAACACCUCGUAACUGGAACGCGGCGCGGCCAUGCCGUAAAACCCCAACUUCUGAAUGUUGACCUCGGAUCAGGUAGGAAUACCCGCUGAACUUAAGCAUAUCAAUAAGCGGAGGA
rnacentral:misc_RNA from 1 species